rnacentral:rRNA from 1 species
UUCCGGUUGAUCCUGCCGGACCCGACUGCUAUUUGGGUGAGGAUAAGCCAUGCGAGUUGAAUGGGAAACCUAAAAAUCCCAUGGCAAACCGCUCAGUAACACAUGAUCAACUUACCCUAUAGAGGAAAAUAACCUCGGGAAACUGAGGAUAAUGUUCCAUAGUUGAAUUGGCUUGGAAAAGUUUUUCAAUAAAAGGGAUAAGGAAAAUGGUUCUUAUCUGCUAUAGGAUAGGAUCGUGCUCGAUUAUGGUUGUUGGUGAGGUAAAGGCUCACCAAGCCGAUAAUCGAUAGGGGCCGUGAGAGCGGGAGCCCCGAGAUGGGUACUGAGACAACGACCCAGGCCUUACGAGGCGCAGCAGGCGCGAAACCUCCGCAAUACACGAAAGUGUGACGGGGUUACCCAAAGUGUUCUAUUUAGAACUGUGGUAGGUGAGUAAUGUUCCCUACUAGAAAGGAGAGGGUAAGGCUGGUGCCAGCCGCCGCGGUAAAACCAGCUCUUCAAGUGGUCGGGAUAAUUAUUGGGCUUAAAGUGUCCGUAGCCGGUUUAGUAAGUUCCUGGUAAAAUCGGGUAGCUUAACUAUCUAUAUGCUAGGAAUACUGCUAUACUAGAGGGCGGGAGAGGUCUGAGGUACUACAGGGGUAGGGGUGAAAUCUUAUAAUCCUUGUAGGACCACCAGUGGCGAAGGCGUCAGACUGGAACGCGCCUGACGGUGAGGGACGAAAGCCAGGGGAGCGAACCGGAUUAGAUACCCGGGUAGUCCUGGCCGUAAACGAUGCAUACUANGUGAUGGCACGGCCAUGAGCCGUGUCAGUGCCGUAGGGAAACCGUUAAGUGUGCCGCCUGGGAAGUACGGUCGCAAGGCUAAAACUUAAAGGAAUUGGCGGGGGAGCACCACAAGGGGUGAAGCCUGCGGUUCAAUUGGAUUCAACGCCGGAAUCACUAGUGCGGCC